rnacentral:rRNA from 1 species
CUCCGUGAAGCUGGAUUCGCUAGUAAUCGCGCAUCAGCCAUGGCGCGGUGAAUACGUUCCCGGGCCUUGUACACACCGCCCGUCAAGCCAUGGAAGCCGGGGGCGCUUGAAGUGCGUUGCCGCAAGGCGCGCCCUAGAGCGAAACCGGUGACUGGGGCUAAGUCGUAACAAGGUAGC